GACGAACGCUGGCGGCGUGCUUAACACAUGCAAGUCGAACGCUGAAGGCCUGGCUUUUGUUGGGUUGGAUGAGUGGCGAACGGGUGAGUAACACGUGAGUAACCUGCCCUCUUCUUUGGGAUAACGCCCGGAAACGGGUGCUAAUACUGGAUAUUCACUGAUCUUCGCAUGGGGGUUGGUGGAAAGGUUUGUUCUGGUGGGGGAUGGGCUCGCGGCCUAUCAGCUUGUUGGUGGGGUGAUGGCCUACCAAGGCUUUGACGGGUAGCCGGCCUGAGAGGGUGACCGGUCACAUUGGGACUGAGAUACGGCCCAGACUCCUGCGGGAGGCAGCAGUGGGGAAUAUUGCACAAUGGGCGAAAGCCUGAUGCAGCGACGCCGCGUGAGGGAUGGAGGCCUUCGGGGUGUAAACCUCUUUCGCUCAUGGUCAAGCCGCAACUGUGGGUUGUGGUGAGGGUAGUGGGUAAAGAAGCGCCGGCUAACUACGUG
rnacentral:rRNA from 1 species